rnacentral:tRNA from 1 species
AGCUAAAUAAUUUAAAAUAAAAUAUUAAUUUUGUAAAUUAAAUAUGAAAAUUUUUCUUUAGCUU